rnacentral:rRNA from 1 species
UACGUAGGGUGCGAGCGUUGUCCGGAAUUAUUGGGCGUAAAGAGCUCGUAGGUGGUUUGUCGCGUUGUUCGUGAAAACUCACAGCUUAACUGUGGGCGUGCGGGCGAUACGGGCAGACUUGAGUACUGCAGGGGAGACUGGAAUUCCUGGUGUAGCGGUGGAAUGCGCAGAUAUCAGGAGGAACACCGGUGGCGAAGGCGGUCUUCUGGGCUAGUAACUGACGCUGAGGAGCGAAAGCGUGGGGAGCGAAACAGG